GUCACUAAAUGUUUCACUUUCACUUCAUUACACCGACGAGUUCUGUUGAGUUUCAGUCUGCCGCUAAACACAACACGCUGCGCUCGUAAAAAGUGAAGUUCUGCGGGCUCCUUUCUUUGAACGCCUGGACGUUCUGCUAGAAAACCUGGAAACACAAGCAGAAUUGCAACCCAAACACUCCAAGCAAAUGAAGAAACUGCUUAAUGCUAUUCUUUAUUUUCUGCUGCUCAUGGCUGUUGACUGCUGGCCUUUUGAUGAAGUGUUGGUUGAAGUCCAUAUGGAGCCCCAGGACGAGCAGAAGGAGGAUGAAGUGGCAGAGAUUCGGUCUCUUCACCUUUGGUGUCUGAUGUGUGCGCUGCUUUAAUCCCAUUGUGGUCCACAUUGCAUACCAGCCCUUGGGAAACAUGCUUGUGGGUGUCCGGUGGAUGGACAUGUGGAGUGGUCCAGAGCAAGCACCGCUUGUGUUACAUAAAUGGCAGCGAUCCUCACUUAAAAUAGCAUGUGUUCAGUUAGACUUGGAGGAGCACUUGAUCCUGAUGCGCGCGCCUCUAUAUCAAAAAAUCGCUCCUCUGUGUCCAGUGGUGUGUUUGUGUGUUAAGUGUUUAAUUCCGGAUUACGCGCAGCUUGAGUUUCUAUAAUGGCAUCCUGCUAGUGACGGCGCUCAGCAUCAUAUGGAUUGACUGGUUCUAGCUUUGUAAACAUUUAACAUGGCCCUCUAAUGCGUCUGAAUUGUGUACCUUUUCUAACUGGUUAUAACCAGGAGGAGGUCAGUACACUGUGUUUUGGUUUGUAUUUAUAAGUUCAAUGAUCAAAAAAGGGUUCUGUAUCAAAAAAAUAAAGCAUUUGCUUUUGGGGAGAGAGGGAAACACAUUAUUGUCAAAAGGCAUCCAGUUUACA